rnacentral:rRNA from 1 species
UGCGUAGGGGGCAAGCGUUGUCCGGAUUUAUUGGGCGUAAAGAGCGUGUAGGCGGCUUUACAGGUCCGUUGUGAAAACUCGAGGCUCAACCUCGAGACGCCGGUGGAAACCGUAAAGCUAGAGUCCGGAAGAGGAGAGUGGAAUUCCUGGUGUAGCGGUGAAAUGCGCAGAUAUCUGGAGGAACACCGGUGGCGAAGGCGGCAUCCUGGACCGGUAUUGACGCUGAUGCGCGAAAGCCAGGGGAGCAAACGGG